rnacentral:rRNA from 1 species
GAUGAACGCUGACAGAAUGCUUAACACAUGCAAGUCCACUUGAACUUCGGUUUGGGUGGCGGACGGGUGAGUAACGCGUAAAGAACUUGCCUCACAGAUAGGGACAACAUUUGGAAACGAAUGCUAAUACCUGAUAUUAUGAUUUUAGGGCAUCCUAGGAUUAUGAAAGCUAUAUGCGCUGUGAGAGAGCUUUGCGUCCCAUUAGCUAGUUGGAGAGGUAACGGCUCACCAAGGCGAUGAUGGGUAGCCGGCCUGAGAGGGUGAUCGGCCACAAGGGGACUGAGACACGGCCCUUACUCCUUCGGGAGGCAGCAGUGGGGAAUAUUGGACAAUGGACCAAGAGUCUGAUCCAGCAAUUCUGUGUGAACGAUGAAGUUUUUCGGAAUGUAAAGUGAUUUCAGUUGGGAAGAAAAAAAUGACGGUACCAACAGAAGAAGUGACGGCUAAAUACGUG